GCGACAAGUUUGUUCUGUAGUGACGUUGUACUGCCAUUUCCCUUCCACAUGUUGAGAGAGUGCGUGGCAUCGUCAGUUCUUAUAACUGUGCAGCGGCCGGUUGGUUGAUUGACAGGGCUACACACAGGAGUUAUAGAACGUUUUAUGGGAGAGCGAGAGUGGUUGGAUUCACACAGCAUUUCGUUGAGCACUGUGCAAUACUUGUAUGUUCAUCCCAUAGUGUUGUGUGGGUUGUGUUUGCCCGAGGAAAAAAAUGAAUAUUUAAAGUUUAAAGACUCCUAUCAAGUGAGACGUAUUCCUCUCCAGUGAGAUGGUUAGGACACAGCACAUGUUGCCUUUGUGUAUAUCAACUGCCUGCUUGAGUAUUUUCUGUGUUGACAUUUUCUCUGUAAUCUUGUACAACUGUUUGGGCUGUUUUUCCUGCCAUAUCGCUCGCGGUGACAGCGAGCUGACAGUUACUGUAUAUUGCUGUGUAUACCUUCAUUUUUUAUGAGGUGUUUUACAGUUUUGUUUCACUUUGUGUAGUGAUUCACUCUGUGGAGUUUUUUUGACUGUUGUUAUAUAACUUCAUAUACACAAAUGAUCAAUAAAAAUGUUUUAUUUCCUGUUGAUACAGAACCUUUUUCAAGUGCUUUUUUUUUCUUUCCGGAUGCUGGUUUGGUUCACUUACCAACUUUUUACGUGGAUUUUGAUGUGUGAGCAGAUAAUACUCACAUUCACAUGUUAGACAACAUGCCUUCAUCAGCACAAGAAUAAGAAGCAUUGAGUGAAUUUUAAUAAUAAACAUUGAGUGCAUAUGAAGCCUAGAUUUAUUUUCAUUAUGAGCCAGAUCUAGGAAUUGCUGUGAUCUAUUUAGUAAACACAAGAGACCAGAGAAAUGUAUGAGUGUGGCGGUAUAUAGCAGCAACAGUGGCAUCUAGUGGUCAAAAUCUGGUAAAUUCACACUAAAUAAUCCAAGUGAUUUAAAUUACAAAAAAAAAUGUAUGAAGGGGAAAAAACAUCUCCAGAUUCACAGGGAAUACAUUACAUAGUAUGGAUAAGCAAUACUACAAGCCACAGCUUCAUACUAUGUGUCAGACAUAGAGAACUGACACAGUAUAUUGGUUGUUGGGGGGUCUGUGUGUGACUUUUUGACCAUUCGUUUUGUAGAAAGGAUGUCAGCUACUAUAUUUAGUGAAUAUUAUAUGAACCCUAUAUAUUUAAAUGGUCAAUUUGGAUGCAAUUAAUUAGCGUAAUUUCCCAGCGAUCCAAUUAUAUUUCAACAAAAUAAUGUUGCAUGAAUGUUAAUCUUAUCUGUUUCUAACCACAUAAAUUAUUUCAGAACAAUCUGAGAUGGUGGGUGUCCUUUUAGAGAUGGAAUGACCCUACAAUCAUUCAGACAUUAUCAAAUGAC
rnacentral:lncRNA from 13 species